rnacentral:rRNA from 1 species
CAGUAGCCGCGGGAAUACGAAGGGGGCUAGCGUUGUUCGGAAUUACUGGGCGUAAAGGGCGCGUAGGCGGCCAUUCAAGUUAGAUGUGAAAGCCCUGGGCUCAACCUAGGAAUUGCGUUUGAUACUGUUUGGCUUGAGUUCGGGAGAGGUGAGUGGAAUUCCCAGUGUAGAGGUGAAAUUCGUAGAUAUUGGGAAGAACACCAGUGGCGAAGGCGGCUCACUGGACCGACACUGACGCUGAGGCGCGAAAGCGUGGGGAGCAAACAGGAUUAGAUACCCCGGUAGUCCCUGUCUCUUAUAC